UGUAAUUGUGCCAAAUUUGCUACAAGAUUUCCUGCAGAGGAAGGUAAAUUUUUAAUUUGAUGGCAAAGUGUAGUUCUAAAAGAACAAAUGAUAUAGAAAAACAGAAUUGUUGGCUGAAAAGAAAAAACAAACAUUUAAAGAGAAUCUCACGCUUUUAUGUAAUUUAUAGAAUAUUACUAUAAUCUUACGUUUGGAGGGAGUUACAAUGAACAAACUCUGUUUUCUUAUUAUUUUCAUUUUUUCGUUCAGAUUCAACUUUUUGUCAAGCAAAGGAGUGUCCACUAAUUCAUUAAAUCCCUACUUUUUUCGCUCUUUUCAUCAGUUACGUCAUUCACUGUUAUGCUGCAGGUUUCACAAUGGUUUCAAUUUCUGUGAUUAUA